rnacentral:rRNA from 1 species
UCAAGUUAUUAAGGGUGCAGGGCGGAUGCCUUGGCACUAGGAGCCGAUGAAGGACGUGAUAAGCUGCGAUAAGCUUCGGGGAGUUGCACGUAAACUUUGAUCCGAAGAUUUCCGAAUGAGGAAACUCACUUAGAGUAAUGUCUAAGUAUCAUUAAGUGAAUACAUAGCUUAAUGAGGGGAACUCAGGGAACUGAAACAUCUAAGUACCUGAAGGAAGAGAAAGAAAUUCGAUUCCGUAAGUAGCGGCGAGCGAACGCGGAUUAGCCCAAACCAAUAAAGUUUUCUUUAUUGGGGUUGCGGACAUAUCAUAACGAAGAGGUAUCGUAAUUGAAGAGGUUUGGAAAGACCCACCACAGAAGGUAAUAGUCCUGUAUGUUAAACGAGAAGACUUUAGAUAUGAUCCAGAGUACCACGGGACACGUGAAACCCUGUGGGAAGCAGGAGGGACCACCCUCCAAGGCUAAAUACUACCUAGUGACCGAUAGCGUAUAGUACCGUGAGGGAAAGGUGAAAAGAACCCCGGGAGGGGAGUGAAAUAGAACCUGAAACCCUGCACUUACAAGCUGUGGAAGCACAUUUCUUGUGUGACCGCGUACUUUUUGUAGAACGGGCCAACGAGUUACGUUAAGUAGCAAGGUUAAGCACUUAAGGUGCGGAGCCGUAGCGAAAGCGAGUUUUAACUGAGCGUUCAGUUACUUGACGUAGACCCGAAACCGGGCGACCUACCCAUGAGCAGGAUGAAGCGAAAGUAAAAUUUCGUGGAGGUCCGAACCCACGAGCGUUGAAAAGCUCGGGGAUGACUUGUGGGUAGCGGUGAAAUUCCAAUCGAGCCCGGAGAUAGCUGGUUCUCCCCGAAAUAGCUUUAGGGCUAGCCUCAAGGUGAGAGAUACGGAGGUAGAGCACUGAAUGUCCUAGGGGGUAUUGCACCUACCGAAGACUAUCAAACUCCGAAUGCCGUCAUCUUAUACUUGGGAGUCAGACUGUGGGUGAUAAGAUUCAUAGUCGAAAGGGCAACAGCCCAGAUCGUCAGCUAAGGUCCCUAAAUGUAAGUUAAGUGGUAAAGGAUGUGGGAUUGCACAGACAACCAGGAUGUUGGCUUAGAAGCAGCCACUCAUUCAAAGAGUGCGUAAUAGCUCACUGGUCGAGUGAUCCUGCGCCGAAGAUUUCCGGGGCUAAAACUUACUACCGAAGCUACGGCAUCAGUAAUGAUGGGUAGGGGAGCUUCCCAUACGGGUUGAAGCAUGACCGUAAGGACAUGUGGACAGUAUGGGAGUGAGAAUGUUGGCAUGAGUAGCGAGAUGUGGGUGAGAAUCCCACAGGCCGUAAACCCAAGGUUUCCAGGGGAAGGUUCGUCCGCCCUGGGUUAGUCGGGACCUAAGCUGAGGCCGAAAGGCGUAGGUGAUGGACAACAGGUUGAUAUUCCUGUACUACCGAUAACCGUUUGAGAGAAGGGAUGACACAGUAGGAUAAGCUAAGCACACUGUUGGUUAUGUGUGCCCAAGCAUUGAGGCAGUCAAAGUAGGCAAAUCCGCUUUGAUAAUGCUGGGAUGUGAUGGGGAGCGAAAUUUAGUAGCGAAGUAGCUGAUUUCACACUGUCAAGAAAAGUCUCUAUCGAGGUUAAAGGUACCCGUACCGCAAACCGACACAGGUGGGUGAGGAGAGUAUCCUAAGGCCAGCGAGAGAACUGUUGUUAAGGAACUCGGCAAAAUGACCCCGUAACUUAGGGAUAAGGGGUGCCACCAUCAGGUGGCCGCAGAGAAUAGGCCCAAGCGACUGUUUACCAAAAACAUAGGUUUCUGCUAAGUCGCAAGACGAUGUAUAGGAGCUGACGCCUGCCCGGUGCUGGAAGGUUAAGGGGAUCUGUUAGAGCAAUCGAAGCAGUGAACUUAAGCCCCAGUAAACGGCGGCCGUAACUAUAACGGUCCUAAGGUAGCGAAAUUCCUUGUCGGGUAAGUUCCGACCCGCACGAAAGGCGUAACGAUUUGGGCACUGUCUCAACAACAGACUCGGUGAAAUUGUAAUUCCGGUGAAGAUGCCGGAUACCUGCGACAGGACGGAAAGACCCCAUGGAGCUUUACUGUAGCUUGACAUUGGGUCUUGGUACUACAUGUACAGGAUAGGUGGGAGGCUUUGAAACCAGGACGCCAGUUUUGGCGGAGCCAUCCUUGGGAUACCACCCUUGUAGUACUGGGACUCUAACCAUAGGCCAUGAAUCUGGUCUUGGGACACUGUCAGGUGGGCAGUUUGACUGGGGCGGUCGCCUCCCAAAAGGUAACGGAGGCGCUCAAAGGUUCUCUCAGUACGGUCGGAAAUCGUACGUAGAGUGUAAAGGCAAAAGAGAGCUUGAUUGCAAGACAUACAGGUCGAGCAAGGAUGAAAAUCGGACUUAGUGAUCCGGUGGUUCUGCGUGGAAGGGCCAUCGCUCAACGGAUAAAAGCUACCCUGGGGAUAACAGGCUUAUCUCCCCCAAGAGUCCACAUCGACGGGGAGGUUUGGCACCUCGAUGUCGGCUCAUCACAUCCUGGGGCUGUAGUAGGUCCCAAGGGUUGGGCUGUUCGCCCAUUAAAGUGGUACGCGAGCUGGGUUCAGAACGUCGUGAGACAGUUCGGUCCCUAUCCGUCGCAGGCGUAGGAAAUUUGAGAAGACCUGUCCUUAGUACGAGAGGACCGGGAUGGACGUACCUCUGGUGUACCAGUUGUCCUGCCAAGGGCAUGGCUGGGUAGCUAUGUACGGAAUGGAUAAGCGCUGAAAGCAUCUAAGCGCGAAGCCAACUUCAAGAUAAGAUUUCCCACCG